GGGGUUGUGGCUCAGCGGUAGAGCGCUCGCCUAGCAUGUGUGAGGCCCUGGGUUCAAUCUUCAGCACCA
rnacentral:tRNA from 1 species